GACGAACGCUGGCGGCGUGCUUAACACAUGCAAGUCGAACGGUGAGGCUCCAGCUUGCUGGAGUGGAUCAGUGGCGAACGGGUGAGUAACACGUGAGCAACCUGCCCCAGACUCUGGAAUAAGCGCUGGAAACGGCGUCUAAUACUGGAUACGAGAUCAAGCCGCAUGGUUAUGGUCCGGAAAUUUUUUCGGUUUGGGAUGGGCUCGCGGCCUAUCAGCUUGUUGGUGAGGUAGUGGCUCACCAAGGCGACGACGGGUAGCCGGCCUGAGAGGGCGACCGGCCACACUGGGACUGAGACACGGCCCAGACUCCUACGGGAGGCAGCAGUGGGGAAUAUUGCACAAUGGGCGAAAGCCUGAUGCAGCGACGCCGCGUGCGGGAUGACGGCCUUCGGGUUGUAAACCUCUUUCAGCAGGGAAGAAGCGAAAGUGACGGUACCUGGAGAAGAAGCACCGGCUAACUACGUG
rnacentral:rRNA from 1 species